rnacentral:rRNA from 1 species
GACGAACGCUGGCGGCGCGCCUAACACAUGCAAGUCGAACGGAGCUGAGAGAAGCUUGCUUUUCUUAGCUUAGUGGCGCACGGGUGAGUAACGCGUGAGUAACCUGCCCUGGAGUGGGGGACAACAGUUGGAAACGACUGCUAAUACCGCAUAAGCCCACGAUCCGGCAUCGGAUUGAGGGAAAAUGAUUUAUUCGCUUCAGGAUGGACUCGCGUCCAAUUAGCUAGUUGGUGAGGUAACGGCCCACCAAGGCGACGAUUGGUAGCCGGACUGAGAGGUUGAACGGCCACAUUGGGACUGAGACACGGCCCAGACUCCUACGGGAGGCAGCAGUGGGGGAUAUUGCACAAUGGGGGAAACCCUGAUGCAGCGACGCCGCGUGGAGGAAGAAGGUUUUCGGAUUGUAAACUCCUGUCGUUAGGGACGAUAAUGACGGUACCUAACAAGAAAGCACCGGCUAACUACGUG